GCCUCGGUAGUUUAGCCUGGUAGAACGCGAGUCUCAUGAGCUCGAUAUCGGCGGUUCAAAUCCGCCCCGAGGCA
rnacentral:tRNA from 1 species